rnacentral:lncRNA from 12 species
CCAUGGAAGUGCUCUGUGGGAGAGAAGAAAACCUGAACUCAGACCUCCCCAUGAGGUGGCCCACAGCAAGAGUCAGGAUGCCGCUCUGCAGAGGAGGACCCACGGAUAGGGAGGAGGAGAUGGGCAGGAGGGCAGGAGGUGGACACAGGGGAUCCCGCAGUUGCAGGCUUGAGGAAGGGAAGCUGUGGAAAAUCACAGAAGUGGAGAGAAGAGGCAGCCCCACCAGCCAGGAUGGAGAGAGCAAGGCAGGCACGGCUGCUCCACAGAGAAGUAAGCCAGUGCGUCUUCACGCUGAUGGAAGUACCGCCAGAGUUCCCUGGGAUAGGAACUCCCGUCCCAGCUCCAAUCCUGCAGCAUCUGAUCCAGGGGCCACGUCUCUAGGCUAUGGAACCUCCUGGAAGCAAAGCACUCUGUCCAGCACCUUGAUGGUGGUCUCCUCAUCAGAACCAGCUCCAGGCAGGAGGACAAGGUGAAGGAAGAGCCUAUCCACACUGCCUAGUCUACACCCCAUCUCCUGGGAGUCCCAGCCUGGCCUCCAGGAAGCCAAAGCUCUCUCCAGAGUUUUACCUUGCCAGCCACACUGAGAGGAACGAAAGAAGGGGAAGUAAGAGAACAAAGAAAUAGCCACUUCAAUCUUCCUAAAGUUGCAACUCAAGCCCACGCUCCCACACAUACACACUCACACAGUGGUCCCAUCUCUUAUGGUCUCUAGGACUCUACUUUGUCCUUGACCUGUUUUCAGAAUGCUGCUUCCUUGAACAUGGGGUUGAGUAGGAAGAAGGAAGGGAAGGGAAAUAAGAGAAUUUCCAACCACCUGGUUUGGGAUUGCCUUAGAGAGCUAUUCUGGUGGUACAGGCCCCUGCACACACACACAGACACGUGUAGCCACCAGUGUCUGUGUUUAGGAGAACGCUAAAAGCACUUUGUAUUCUUUUAGGCCAGUGAUUCUGGUCUCUCCCUCCCCAAGGGGAUGUUUGCAAUAUCUGGAGACAUUUUUUGCUGUCCCAGCUGGAGCCAAGCAUGCUACCAGCAUGUGGUGUAGAGAGGUCAGGCAUCCCAAGUGUCCUAGAGCACACAGCCCAACCCCCGCCCCACAGCAGAGACUUCUCUGACCUCAAUGUCAAAUGUGCCAUAGUUGAGGAACCCCGAGAUUUAGGGAAAGAACUCCUUUAGCACUGGUGAGGGGUCAGGGAGACCUAAAGGCACAAGAGGUAGAAUGAAAGAGUGAGAGGGUCUCAAAGUGUGGUAGGCGAGCGAGAGAAAGCAGCCUGCCAUUGAAGACACAAUCCCCACUCGUGUGUUGGAGAGAUGUUUUUGCUCUGUUACUGCCAUAGAGGGAAGACACAGAUUGCCAGGAUGACGAAGGAAGGGGGUAGAAUGUAAGCCUCUGGGUGUCUGCGGGCAGAGGCCAGGUAGAGCCAGGACCACACUGAUCCCUGGUAGUUUCUUCCUAUUUGUUCUUUUACCAGUUCA